rfam:Triticum aestivum genome assembly, contig: Triticum_aestivum_CS42_TGACv1_scaffold_211771_3AS
GUAAUACUCCCUCCAUCUUAAAAAGCUUGUCUUAGAUUCGUCAAGAUACGGAUGUAUCUAGACACGUUUUAGUGUUAGAUACAUUUGCAUCUAGAUAAAUCUAAGACAAACUUUUUGAUACGAAGGUAAUAUAAU